CUUACCAUGCAAGUCGAACGGUAACAGGUCUUCGGACGCUGACGAGUGGCGAACGGGUGAGUAAUACAUCGGAACGUGCCCAGUCGUGGGGGAUAACUACUCGAAAGAGUAGCUAAUACCGCAUACGAUCUGAGGAUGAAAGCGGGGGACCUUCGGGCCUCGCGCGAUUGGAGCGGCCGAUGGCAGAUUAGGUAGUUGGUGGGAUAAAAGCUUACCAAGCCGACGAUCUGUAGCUGGUCUGAGAGGACGACCAGCCACACUGGGACUGAGACACGGCCCAGACUCCUACGGGAGGCAGCAGUGGGGAAUUUUGGACAAUGGGCGAAAGCCUGAUCCAGCAAUGCCGCGUGCAGGAUGAAGGCCUUCGGGUUGUAAACUGCUUUUGUACGGGACGAAAAAGCUCCUUCUAAUACAGGGGGCCCAUGACGGUACCGUAAGAAUAAGCACCGACUAACUACGUGCCAGCAGCCGCGGUAAUACGUAGGGUGCGAGCGUUAAUCGGAAUUACUGGGCGUAAAGCGUGCGCAGGCGGUUAUGUAAGACAGAUGUGAAAUCCCCGGGCUCAACCUGGGAACUGCAUUUGUGACUGCAUGGCUAGAGUACGGUAGAGGGGGAUGGAAUUCCGCGUGUAGCAGUGAAAUGCGUAGAUAUGCGGAGGAACACCGAUGGCGAA
rnacentral:rRNA from 1 species